rnacentral:lncRNA from 1 species
UGGAUGGAAGACAAGGAUGAAAAUGGGUGCAAGAAGGCAGAAAACGCUUAAAUGGGAUUAUUCCGGAACUGGAUGAACUAUGAAGGGGACUCUGAAGACGGGAACUUGCCAGACGCAUGAAUGUGACUGAAAUCCGAGUGCAGGUGUGGUUUAAGAACAAGAGGGCCAAAUGUAGGAGAGAUGAGAGAGCAUCAAUGCUCAGAAAUGCACCACCUGCUAACCUGGACCACAUUUUCGUCUUCAUGUUGGAUGGGUCUAAUAUGCCGUCGCGUUCAGAAGCCAGAUUGGAGAUGGGUUCUUUUGGUGCCACUGACACCCUGCCACGCUUACCUCCCCUGUAGAUGUAUUAUCAAUAAAG